UCUCCGUAGGUGAACCUGCGGAAGGAUCAUUACCGAAUAAAAAAAUAGUAAAUUUUGUAGAGUGACUUUAUUUUCUUUUUCCUCUGAAGAAUGGAAAUAAAAAUCAUUUUGCUUAAUUUAUAAAAAACCCCUUUUGUGAACAAUGUAAUUUUUCGACGAUUUGAAUUUUUUCCAAGUGGGGGGGGGGGGAGAAAGUUAAAAAAUAAUUUUUACUUACCCCCUUCCCGCUACAUAAAAAGGAAAAAAAAAGGGAGAAUUGAAGAAAAAUUCCAAUAAAAAACAAUAUUAUAGCCUUAAAAAUAAAAAAUUAAUUUAAAAAAAACAACUUUUAACAACGGAUCUCUAGGCUCUC
rnacentral:misc_RNA from 1 species